rnacentral:lncRNA from 1 species
ACUUGGUUCACGUACACAGGAGACCCCGACUCGCUGGGCACGUCGGGAGCCCGCGAGUUAAUGGAGGUGACCGAGGACGUGGACCCGGGGGAGUCGGUCAUCAGCUGGGCUCGGGUCAGACGCUUGCCGGUCCUAUUGGGCGUCUGUUUCAAAAUCCGGGAGCGGGCUUCCACAUAGAUGCGGCUGUAGAGGGCGAUGAGGAGCAAGGUGGGGAAGUAGAAAGCGCCCACCGUGGAGUAGACCGUGUAGAGGAUGUGGUCGGUGUUCACCAAACAGUCCAACACUUCUUCCUCGGCUUUGGCCUGGCGCCAAAAGAAGGGCGUCCUUUUAGCUGAGUACUCCACGGCGUCCGUGAUGGCCCAGUAGCGGUCCAGGGCGAUGACACAGAGGUGCAGGAUGGAAGCAGUGCAACAGGUGAUAUCAGACGACAGCCAGAAGUCGCAGACCACCUGGCCCAGCGUCCAGCGGCCGGUGACCACAUACAUGGUGCUGAUGGGCAUCACCAGGAUGGAUACGAGCAGGUCAGUGACAGCCAGGGAGGCGAUCAGGUAGUUGGCCGGGGUAUGCAGCUUCCGCGUCCGGUACACAGUGGCGAUCACAAAUGCGUUGGAGAGCGUGGUGGCCAAGGUGAUGAGCGCCAGCAGCACGACGAGCAGCACUUUCCAGGGCAGGGCGACGGAGUCCUGGUAAACGUAGCCCUCGGUGCUGCAGUUGUGGGAGGGAGCGGCGGAGAGGUUGACUUGAGAAACCCCAGUCUGGGAGCCCGCGGGCGGCGGCGGGGCGCACUGAGCGCCCGUUUCCUCCAUGUCUCUCCUCGCCCUGGCCCCGGAGCACAGCUCUCAGGCAUGGAGCGGACGAGGAAGAGGGCGGAAGGACCGUGGAGGAGACCACAGUCUUAUCCCUCGGUUGCUAGUCAGUUCCCUGGGUCCCUUAAUUACCCCUGCACCCAGGUUCCCAGCUGAAAGUAGAGGUCAAGGGCGAGGCGGGCGAGGCAGGCGGACACGUCCGCUGCGCUUCCAGUGUGCCCGGCGCGGCCGCCGCGUCUCUGGCGGCUCCUCUCCACGCCCCGUCUUAGCCCUGGGUUGCUAAGGACUGGCCUACCGAGCCCCGCUCCUCUCCUGCUCCAAGCCGGGCGUCUAGUGGCCGAGCGCGGUGUUUUGAGGAGGGAGCAUCAGCCAGGUGCGGUCUCUUACCCCAAGUGUUCGGGGUUGAGAGUCUCCUAACCCGGGCGCUCCUUAAUCUGCAGACUUGGCCCACAGGAGUUUCUCAGCUGUCGAGACCAAAGCUUGCAGGCCCGCGAGGAGUCUUGGUCUUGCGUUCCCGCCCCCCUCCCCAGCCUGGGGCAGUUUCCUGCGGCAGCUGCAGCCGCCCGAGCUGGGUGGGGUGAAGUCUGCGAGCCGGGCUGCGCCGCUCUUUGCGCCAGAGCUCUGCCCUCCCUUCUUUUCAAGCGCUGGCCACUCCGGCGAGCUGCCCCGCGGAGACGGGGCCGCACGAGGGGGGACUCGGGGCCCGGGGCUGCGGCUGCUUGCACCGCGCCGCCGCCACCUCGGUCCCACGGGCACCACUCGGAGCCAUGUCUCUGGGCGCACGGGUCUGGGGGACCCGGCGCGGCACGCCCGCCAGGGGCAGGUGUCUGGGAGAGCUGGAGGGAGGCUGCGUGCGCCAGCCCGGGAGGAGCGUGUGAGCCGCGGAGCAGGUGGGCUCCUUUUAUAGAGUCCAGGUCCGGUCCGCCGGAGCCGUGCAACUCGUGCGGCGCAGCGAGUGCAGAC